UACGUAGGGUGCGAGCGUUUAAUCGGAAUUACUGGGCGUAAAGCGUGCGCAGGCGGUUUCGUAAGUCUGUCGUGAAAUCCCCGGGCUUAACCUGGGAAUGGCGAUGGAGACUGCGAGGCUAGAGUUUGGCAGAGGGGGGUAGAAUUCCACGUGUAGCAGUGAAAUGCGUAGAGAUGUGGAGGAAUACCGAUGGCGAAGGCAGCCCCCUGGGAUAACACUGACGCUCAUGCACGAAAGCGUGGGGGAGCAAACAGG
rnacentral:rRNA from 1 species